UACGAACUGUGCGAACGUUAUUCGGAAUCACUGGGCUUACAGGGUGCGUAGGCGGCCGAACAAGUCAGGUGUGAAAGCCCUCGGCUCAACCGAGGAACUGCGCUUGAAACUGUUUGGCUCGAGUCAACUAGAGGUGCACGGAACUUCCAGUGGAGCGGUGAAAUGUGUUGAUAUUGGAAGGAACAUCUGUGGCGAAGGCGACUACCUGGACCAGCACUGACACUGAGGCACGAAAGCGUGGGGAGCAAACAGG
rnacentral:rRNA from 1 species